rnacentral:rRNA from 1 species
GAUGAACGCUGGCGGUAUGCUUAACACAUGCAAGUCGAACGGACUCUUCGGAGUUAGUGGCGGACGGGUGAGUAACGCGUGAGAAUCUGGCUUUGGGUUCGGGACAACCACUGGAAACGGUGGCUAAUACCGGAUGUGCCGAGAGGUAAAAGAGAAAUUGCCUGAAGAUGAGCUCGCGUCUGAUUAGCUAGUUGGUGAGGUAAAGGCUCACCAAGGCAGCGAUCAGUAGCUGGUCUGAGAGGAUGACCAGCCACACCGGGACUGAGACACGGCCCAGACUCCUACGGGAGGAAGCAGUGGGGAAUUUUCCGCAAUGGGCGAAAGACUGACGGAGCAAUACCGCGUGAGGGAAGAAGGCACUUGGGUUGUAAACCUCUUUUCGUAGGGAAGAACAAAAUGACGGUACCUAAGGAAUCAGCAUCGGCUAACUCCGUG